CCUACGGUGGGCAGCAGUAGGGAAUAUUGCUCAAUGGGGGAAACCCUGAAGCAGCAACGCCGCGUGGAGGAUGAAGGUUUUCGGAUUGUAAACUCCUUUUGUUAGAGAAGAUAAUGACGGUAUCUAACGAAUAAGCACCGGCUAACUCCGUGCCAGCAGCCGCGGUAAUACGGAGGGUGCAAGCGUUACUCGGAAUCACUGGGCGUAAAGAGCGCGUAGGCGGGAUAGCAAGUCAGAUGUGAAAUCCUAUGGCUAAACCAUAGAACUGCAUUUGAAACUGUUAUUCUAGAGAAUGGGAGGGUAGGUUGAAAUUCUGGGGGUGGGGGAAAAUCCGUAGAGAUCAAGAGGAAUACUCAUUGCGAAGGCGACCUGCUAGAACAUAACUGACGCUGAUGCGCGAAAGCGUGGGGAGCAAACAGGAUUAGAUACCCCAGUAGUC
rnacentral:rRNA from 1 species